UGGUGUAGGUAACUGCUCACCAAGCCGACGAUGGAUAGGGGAACUGAGAGGUUGGUCCCCCACACUGGCACUGAGACACGGACCAGACUCCUACGGGAGGCAGCAGUGAGGAAUCUUGGUCAAUGGACGCAAGUCUGAACCAGCCAUGUCGCGUGAAGGAGGACGGCCCUAAGGGUUGUAAACUUCUUUUGCAGUGGAAUAAAGUUUGCCACGUGUUGGCGAUUUGCAAGUACGCUGCGAAUAAGGAUCGGCUAACUCCGUGCCAGCAGCCGCGGUAAUACGGAGGAUCCGGGCGUUAUCCGGAUUUAUUGGGUUUAAAGGGUGCGCAGGCGGGGAAUUAGGUCGGCGGUGAAAUUUCGGGGCUCAACCUCGACAGUGCCGUUGAAACCGUUUCUCUUGAGUGCGGAUGAGGUAGGCGGAAUUUGUGGUGUAGCGGUGAAAUGCGUAGAUAUCACAAGGAACACCGAUUGCGGAGGCAGCUUACUAAACCGUUACUGACGCUCAUGCACGAAGGCGUGGGGAUCAAACAGGAUUAGAUACCCUGGUAGUCCACGCAGUAAACGAUGAUUACUUGCUGUUUGCGAUACACAGUAAGCGGCGUAGCGAA
rnacentral:rRNA from 1 species